rnacentral:rRNA from 1 species
GACGAACGCUGGCGGCGUGCUUAACACAUGCAAGUCGAACGGAAAGGCCCUGCUUUUGUGGGGUGCUCGAGUGGCGAACGGGUGAGUAACACGUGAGUAACCUGCCCUUGACUUUGGGAUAACUUCAGGAAACUGGGGCUAAUACCGGAUAGGAGCUCCUGCUGCAUGGUGGGGGUUGGAAAGUUUCGGCGGUUGGGGAUGGACUCGCGGCUUAUCAGCUUGUUGGUGGGGUAGUGGCUUACCAAGGCUUUGACGGGUAGCCGGCCUGAGAGGGUGACCGGCCACAUUGGGACUGAGAUACGGCCCAGACUCCUACGGGAGGCAGCAGUGGGGAAUAUUGCACAAUGGGCGGAAGCCUGAUGCAGCAACGCCGCGUGCGGGAUGACGGCCUUCGGGUUGUAAACCGCUUUCGCCUGCUGACGAAGCGUGAGUGACGGUAAU